GGGCCCUGGAUGUGCGUGGUGUGUGCCUGUCAACAACAUGGGCGGGGCCACUUUGGCCAGAUCAGAGACAGUGCCAGGGCCCACUGGCUCUGUGCCAGCCACCAUGCUAGGGACCUCCUAGGUGCAAUGUCAUCUCAUCCUCCCUUUGGUGCAGACACUGUUAACUUCUCUGUUAUGCAGGUGAGAACACUAAGACUCACAUGACUUAAACUACUUCUCUGAGAUUCCAAAUAUAAAGUGGUAGAGCCAGGGUUUGAACCCAAAGUGUCAGAAAGUCAGGUUUCCAAUCCUAGCUUUGUUAUUUUCUACCUGUGUUACCCAACUCCUCUGGCCUCACUUUGCCCAUCCCUAUAGUAGGGUUAACAGAAUAUGUGGCUUCGGAUAUUCUCAGGGGCUGUGGAAGGGGCUCUGUAAGCAAUGACGGCUGGAUCUGCCUCAUGGAAACAGUAAAGCGCCAUAAGAGGCUGAGAGAUAGCGGCUGUUGACAUGACUUUGAAGCACUUUUAUUUCUAUUUACUGGAAGAGGUUGUUUUCAGGGCAACCCAAGGAUUCAGAAAACAACGAAACCAUGAAGUCAUCUUGGGGCUCACAGAGCUCUGAGCAGGAGAAACAGGGACUGGGGUUUGGGGAAGGCAUCAACUCAUGCUAUGGCAGAGGCAGAGAGGCUUGUCAGGCAUGGAUCUUCCCUGCCCCACUGGAGUCACAGAAUCUUCUAGUUUUACCCAUAUUUAUGCAGGGUGCUGAGUCACCAAUGUAACCCAGCAAUCCAUCUUGACUGAAAACAAAUGGCUUGUUUAAAUGAAAAGCAGACAGCAGAAGCAGAACGUCCUCAAAAGAGUGUCUUUCAUGUCUCCUUAUUAGGCGCCAGUGGGUCUUUUAGACAGUUUGUACCCAAAGGGAGAAGUGGUUAAUCACUGUGCAUGUUGCCUAAUCAGGAAGCAAAAACCUUGAAGGACACCCGAAGUUCGUGUUAGAAAUGCAAAACAGCCUGAACCCUCUGCGAGUGAAAACAUGUAUGUGUGCAACUGUCAACGUACCCCUCCUUCCUUCCCGCUCUUCCCUGGAGAAGGUAGAAUAGGGAGAGGAAAGCCUUGUUGAAAUACAGCCCGAGUCAUUUGCUUCACAGGCUGGGAUUCUUUCGGAUGCUGGUGCUAAUGGGUGAAGUCUGCCACUCUGAUGCUUGCGAGAGCCGUAGGAGACAGGUCAGGUUCCAGACCCGGACUCUGGAGGUCCUAAUCCUGCUGCCCUGGAUCCACCGGUCACCUCGGAGUCUUCACAGUUUCCCUCCGCAGGAGCCAGAAGGAGUUCUCAAAUAGUGAAAUGCUGGUGCAGGGCCCAGUCUCCCAGAGCUCCUGAACCUGGUGCACCUCCCACCCGCAAGCCCAUCCCAAGAUCCCACUAACACCAUUGCAACCCAGUUUGAAAGCACCAGGCCUGUGAGCAUUCUUUCAUUAUUAACAAUUGAAAAUGA
rnacentral:lncRNA from 1 species